UGAGGGAAAGUUGCAAAGAACUUUGAAGAGAGAGUUCAAGAGUACGUGAAAUUGUUCGGAGGGAAACGGGUGGAUUGUCGAAUUUUCAACGAAUCCGAUUCAGUAACGUGCAAAGAAGUGUGUCCACACAGUUCUAGUCUCCAGUAAAGAUGAGCGACGAGAAUGGUUCUCCAGUCAGCCGUGCAGUUCCCGAUCCCGACGGACACCGCAGCCGGUCGGGCGUCGGCAGUAAGGACUGGUCGGGCGAUUGCGUGGUCGUCGGUCUUGCACCGGCGUCCCGAUUCUGUACCGACCGCGUUCCCGUUGCGACGCCGGUCCGAUCGAUUAGUCCGCUUCGGCGGACCUGCCGUGGUCUCGCCAGAGAUGGUAGAGCGGGAGAGUGGUCCGGUUCGACCGGUCUGGUCGCCCACGGAAACUGUGAGCGACCGACGAAGGUGUUCCGGAUGGCCGCGACCCACCCGCCGAAUUGCGAACCGUCGGCUUGCGGCGAGUACGUCGGUAACCCACCCGACCCGUCUUGAAACACGGACCAAGGAGUCUAAAUCGUGCGCGAGUCAGUGGGACUCGAAUAAGCCCACGGGCGUAAUGAACGUGACACCGGCGUUCAUGCCCGUCGCGAUCCAUACAGCCACCGUGGUGGGGCGCAGUGACGACCCGAGGGAGAGGCGAUUGUUCGCCGCCGUCGGAGUCGGAGCGUACAGGUUGGGACCCGAAAGAUGGUGAACUAUGCCCGGGCAGGUCGAAGCUAGAGGAAACUUUGGUGGAGGACCGCAGCGG
rnacentral:rRNA from 1 species